rnacentral:rRNA from 1 species
GACGAACGCUGGCGGCGUGCUUAACACAUGCAAGUCGAACGGAAAGGCCCUGCUUUUGUGGGGUGCUCGAGUGGCGAACGGGUGAGUAACACGUGAGUAACCUGCCCUUGACUUUGGGAUAACUUCAGGAAACUGGGGCUAAUACCGGAUAGGAGCUCCUGCUGCAUGGUGGGGGUUGGAAAGUUUCGGCGGUUGGGGAUGGACUCGCGGCUUAUCAGCUUGUUGGUGGGGUAGUGGCUUACCAAGGCUUUGACGGGUAGCCGGCCUGAGAGGGUGACCGGCCACAUUGGGACUGAGAUACGGCCCAGACUCCUACGGGAGGCAGCAGUGGGGAAUAUUGCACAAUGGGCGGAAGCCUGAUGCAGCAACGCCGCGUGCGGGAUGACGGCCUUCGGGUUGUAAACCGCUUUCGUCUGUGACGAAGCGUGAGUGACGGUAAUGGGUAAAGAAGCACCGGCUAACUACGUGCCAGCAGCCGCGGUGAUACGUAGGGUGCGAGCGUUGUCCGGAUUUAUUGGGCGUAAAGGGUUCGUAGGUGGUUGAUCGCGUCGGAAGUGUAAUCUUGGGGCUUAACCCUGAGCGUGCUUUCGAUACGGGUUGACUUGAGGAAGGUAGGGGAGAAUGGAAUUCCUGGUGGAGCGGUGGAAUGCGCAGAUAUCAGGAGGAACACCAGUGGCGAAGGCGGUUCUCUGGGCCUUUCCUGACGCUGAGGAGCGAAAGCGUGGGGAGCGAACAGGCUUAGAUACCCUGGUAGUCCACGCUGUAAACGGUGGGUACUAGGUGUGGGGUCCAUUCCACGGGUUCCGUGCCGUAGCUAACGCUUUAAGUACCCCGCCUGGGGAGUACGGCCGCAAGGCUAAAACUCAAAGGAAUUGACGGGGCCCCGCACAAGCGGCGGAGCAUGCGGAUUAAUUCGAUGCAACGCGUAGAACCUUACCUGGGUUUGACAUGGAUCGGGAGUGCUCAGAGAUGGGUGUGCCUCUUUUGGGGUCGGUUCACAGGUGGUGCAUGGCUGUCGUCAGCUCGUGUCGUGAGAUGUUGGGUUAAGUCCCGCAACGAGCGCAACCCUUGUUCACUGUUGCCAGCACGUUAUGGUGGGGACUCAGUGGAGACCGCCGGGGUCAACUCGGAGGAAGGUGGGGAUGACGUCAAGUCAUCAUGCCCCUUAUGUCCAGGGCUUCACGCAUGCUACAAUGGCUGGUACAGAGAGUGGCGAGCCUGUGAGGGUGAGCGAAUCUCGGAAAGCCGGUCUCAGUUCGGAUUGGGGUCUGCAACUCGACCUCAUGAAGUCGGAGUCGCUAGUAAUCGCAGAUCAGCAACGCUGCGGUGAAUAAGUUCCCGGG